rfam:Pseudogymnoascus sp. 05NY08 unplaced genomic scaffold scaffold_450, whole genome shotgun sequence.
GGCCUUAUAGUGUAAUGGUAGCAUCCCUAGUUCUAAACUAGGAGGUUAUGGGUUUAACCCCCAUUAAGGCCU